UACGUAGGUGGCAAGCGUUGUCCGGAAUUAUUGGGCGUAAAGCGCGCGCAGGCGGUCCUUUUAAGUCUGAUGUGAAAGCCCACGGCUCAACCGUGGAGGGUCAUUGGAACCUGGGGGGACUUGAGUGCAGGAGAGAAGAGUGGAAUUCCACGUGUAGCGGUGAAAUUCGUAGAUAUCGGGAGGAACACCAGUGGCGAAGGCGGCUCUCUGGGCAGAUACUGACGCUGAGACGCGAAAGCGUGGGUAGCAAACAGG
rnacentral:rRNA from 1 species